UCCUCCUCCUCCUCCUCCUCCCUCCGCCCUCGCCGAGGGACGGGCUUGGGGGAGGCCCCGCCCCGCGACUCAGCAAACCAGCUUCGGCUCUGGGCGCCGAGCUGCGGGCCCGCGAACGAAUGGGAGGCUGCGAACGCCCCGGGAGGGUGACCUCCGCACCGGCGCCGCCCCUUCCCCAGCCCUAGUCCCGGGGGUUCAGGGGCGCGCCUUCCCAGGCUACGGUGGAGUCCGCCGACUGCAUCGAGCAAUGCUCCGGAUUAGGGGAAAAGGCUAAAGGGAUUCGCCCUCCCGUAUCCCGGGCGCCCAGCCCGUCUGGGGAGCGGGCGCGGUGCGCCCUGGGCGCGCCCCGACGCGGGGGAUGGUCGCCGGGCGGGAGGACGCGACCAGGGGGAGCGCCGAAGGUUCGAAAAGGGAACGCUUGCUGAGCGCCUGCUGUGUGCCCUGCGCCUUGCUCGGGGCCCAUCGAGCACCCAGACAGCUCGGAGCUACCCUGCCGGGGCGCACAGGCCAACGGGACUUAUAUUCUGGUCUCUUCUUACCUUCUGUUUCCCCGAUGCCCUGGAAAAGCCAUGUGUAUACCGAAGCAGUUCAAUAAAUGUGUGUUGAAUAAAUGA